UGCUAGGCGAGCGCGCUACCGCUUGAGCCACAUCCCCAGCCCCGAGAGGAAAUUUUUAAAUAACGUUGUUUCUGUGCUGAAACGCAAUAAAAUAAGACAGUUACAAAAAUAAAGCGCUAUAAUACAAAAGAAUAGAAAUGAAUAGUACAAGAGAAACACAAAGAUCAUGGAAAAAGUGACACUUAAGAUGAGUCUGCUCUAUGGGAGUGAAGGAGCCAGAAAAACAAAGGUAGGCUCCAAAAGAAACAAAACUCAGAAGCAAGUAAUUGUCAGAGAGGAUCUGCAUAAUUAUAACAGGUACAAGCAGCAAGCACCCAAGUAAGUGUCCUGGAAUGGCUGUAUGAAAAGAUGGUGGAGGUCUCCAACAUUACAGUGGGGCUAAAAACAAAGUCACCCAAAACCCUCUUGACUUCCAGUGCAUAUCUAUCGUGAGCUGGUUUCUACAAUCUCUUCCAGGUUUGCAAGUAUUUGAUCUUAGAGUAUUGUGGAAGUUGGUGAAGAGGUCUUAGUAGGAUGUAUGCUAUUACUUCUGUCUCUGGCACUGGCACCUGAAGUCCACAGAGAGCUGAUGAAAGAGAAACUAGUGCCUUCCAUCUUGGAGCUAAAUAUGCAUCCAGUCCAGGAUUGAGGGAAGCUGAUCCAGCAGGAGAACCUGGCAGGAGCCCAGUUACUGCCCCAUGCCAACAAGAUUAAGUGUUUUAAGAAGCCUGUCAGUCUUCUCUAGCUGCUAAGAGAGAUGCUGUUUGGAAGUGGAGGCUGGAGAUCACCCUCAGAGAGCUCAGUGGGCCCUUCAGAAAGGCUUGGGAGGAAGUGCACGUCUCUCAGGCAUUUGUUACCCAAGCUCUGAAAUCUGGAGGAAUGUGAGAGUUAGUGGCGGGUGCUAACUUCACUGGUAACAGUCUAUGGAAUUUAGCAGAGCAGCUUUCAAUCAAUAACAUGUCCUAUCUGCACCUCUGGACAGCUUACAGCUAUACAUUGUGUGCCAUGCAGAUUGGACCUUGGUUAGACAGCAGGAGGCUGUGUGAGAUCCAGUUCACAUUGCACUUGAUAAACCAUGUGCCUGCAGCUUGGGUCCAACUACAGGGGGUGGGGCUUUUUUUCCCCUAAUUUAUACAAAAGUGCCCCAUUGCUUCCGAGUCCUUCCAUCUGCAAUCCAGUCCAACUCCUCUCAAGAUGCAUUUGCAAUUGUUCUACUCCAACAUCUCCAGGAGCAGCAGCAUUCCUGUGAGUUUGUUCUUUGUUCCUGUCCUCUGCCACAGCAGAAGUUCCAUCUUUGUGUUCCAUCUCCCAAGUAGAAGAUUGAAGUCAUUGAAGGAGUGCUUGUUGAUGGCGUCCAGUUUGGCCACCAGGGCAAACACAGACUCCACUAUGGGGCCCAUGUGCAGGUACUAAGAAGGCAAACAUGUGCAGGUACUAAGAAGGCAAACAUGUGCAGAUACAGGUCAGAACUCAACCAAACAGAAAUUACUCCUACAUAAGCCCAAGCUCCAAUCUAAAGGCAACACUGACAAGUUAGAAGUCUAGAGGAAGACUGUGUCUGAAUCUAUGAUUGUGGGCAACAAGAGACAUAUACCUCUAGAACACAUUAACUCCAGUGUCUCAGGCACCAUCAGGCAAAAGCAGCAUGGUGGGUUAAGGUGUGCUUACAAAUUGGGCCCACUCAGAACAAAGGCCACAGUUCCCAGAGACAGCUGUUCUCCCCACAGCAGGCCCCUGUGGCUCGGGGAAUGCCCUUCCUCUUUCACCCUUUAAUGCCUGGAGGGGGAGAGUAUUGUGGGUUGAAUAUGUCCUCCACCCCAUACUCUCAAGUUGAAGUCCUAACCCAGUACCACAGAAUGGGAUUACCAUUUACAUGGAAAUAAGUCAUUAAAGAGGUAAUUAAAUGAGGUCGUUAGGGUAGGCCCUUAUCCAAUAUGGCUAGUGUUCUUGUAAGAAGAGAUUAGGACACGGGCAAACAUAGAGGGACAACCUGUGAGCACACAAGAAGUAGUCGCCAUCUACAGGUCAAGGAGAGAGGCCUCAGGAGGAACCAACCCUGCCACACCUGGAUUUUGGAUUUCCAGCUUCCAGGCUGAGACAGUAAACUGCGAUUGCUUAAACUGCCCAGCCCUGAGAUACUUUAUCACACCUUGUCUGUGAUCCUUGGUUGGGCAGCCCUUGCAAACUAACAUAGGAGGUGACAAUCUCCUGCCUUUACUAAUCUCUCACUGUUUCAUGAAACAGUGAGAGAUUAGUAAAGGCAGGAAUGAAAGAAUUACAGAGCUGCAGGAGAGAAGAAACCAAGUUUCCAAGGAAGAUAGUGGGAAAUUCUAUUUGUAUUUAUUAUUUCUGCUACUGAUUUAUAACACCAAUCAUAUUUAUAUUUAUUUGGG